AUUGAACGCUGGCGGCAGGCCUAACACAUGCAAGUCGAACGAGUGGCGGACGGGUGAGUAAUGCCUGGGAAACUGCCUGAUGGAGGGGGAUAACUACUGGAAACGGUAGCUAAUACCGCCAACCAUCAGAUGUGCACAGAUGGGAUGAGCUCGUGGGUGGGGUAACGGCUCACAAAGGCCACGAUCCCUAGCUGAUCUGAGAGGAUGACCCGCCACACUGGAACUGAGACACGGCCCAGACUCCUACGGGAGGCAGCAGUGGGGAAUAUUGCGCAAUGGGCGAAAGCCUGAUGGAGCCAUGCCGCGUGUAUGAAGAAGGCUUUCGGUUUGUAAAGUACUUUCAGCGGGGAGGCGUUACCCGCAGAAGAAGCCCCGGCUAACUCCGUGCCAGCAGCCGCGGUAAUUC
rnacentral:rRNA from 1 species